CUGAUGUGGAGAGGAAUCUUCCCUUACUGGCAACUCCUGCUACUGACUGGUAAGAAAACAGCAAGCUGGAUUGGACACUGGAUGGUCAGGUCUUGAGUGACACAUCAUCUUAUACAACCCACUUUCUUGACUGGGCUUGCGGCUGUUUUAUACAGCUUCAAACAUCAGGAAAAAAGAGAAGAUAUAGACACCAUUGUAGUGUGAUGUCAUACGGUCGCACUUGGUUCUUAUCUAUUGAACGAGACACAGCGAGCUAAAUGUCUCUUCCGUUCAACCUUCUCACUCGAGUCCAUUGCUACCACAUGACAUUACUCUCCCACUAAAGGGGUUUAGGCUACUUUUAAUAU